rnacentral:sRNA from 1 species
ACACGUAUCCACGUUUCAACCCCCUGUGCAUUAAACCGUAACAUGGAAGAUUGACAGAAGACCCUCGGGUCGGUUGACAAUCGGAAGUUACUUCGAGUUUCUACUCUUCGGAGUGGCAAACUCUUUUAACCCCUUUUAUAAAACUUUGUACUGAAUAGACAUUGGAAGAACUUGCUUGCAAGAUCCUCUAUAGUCGAAAUACGAAACGCGAACAACUCUUAGCAACGGAUAUCUUGGUUCUCGUAACGAUGAAGAACGCAGCGAAAUGCGAUACGUAAUGCGAAUUGCAGAAUUCAGUGAAUCAUCAAAUCUUUGAACGCAAAUUGCGCUCUCGGGAUAGCCCUGAGAGCACGCCUCUUUGAGUAUCGGUUCUAACUAAUCUCUACUGCGUGUGCUUGCAUACGAUGUGGGCUAUGAAAGCUUCUGAAGCCUCUGGCAUCGGAACCUUUUUAAAUUAGUUCGCCCUCUACUAAUCACAAGCUUCGGCUUGCGAGUGAGUUGGCAUAUAGUUAGUUUCACUUCUUGUGAAUUAAUAUGUGCUGGUGUCCCUCUUCGGAGGCGCUCGUCGAUUGAUAGAACGGCGUUGGAACUGUCCCUUCUUC